UACGGAGGGUGCAAGCGUUAUCCGGAUUUACUGGGUUUAAAGGGAGCGUAGGUGGGCAGGUAAGUCAGUGGUGAAAUCUCCGAGCUUAACUCGGAAACUGCCAUUGAUACUAUUUGUCUUGAAUAUUCUGGAGGUAAGCGGAAUAUGUCAUGUAGCGGUGAAAUGCGUAGAUAUGACAUAGAACACCAGUUGCGAAGGCAGCUUACUGGAGGAUUAUUGACGCUGAGGCUCGAAAGCGUGGGGAUCAAACAGG
rnacentral:rRNA from 1 species